rnacentral:rRNA from 1 species
GACGAACGCUGGCGGCGUGCCUAAUACGUGCAAGUCGAACGAACAGAUGAGGCGCUUGCUCCUUUGACGUUAGCCGAGGGCGGGUGUGUAACACGAGGAUAACCCACCUAUAAGACUGGGAUAACUUCGGGACACCGGCGCAUAUCCCGUAUAAUAUCUUGAACCGCAUGGUUCGAUAGUGAAAGACGGCUUUGCUGUCACUUAUCGAUGGAUCCGCGCCGCAUUAGCUAGUUGGUACGGUAAAGGCCUACCAAGGCAACGAUGCGUAGCCGACCGCAGAGGGUGGUAGGCCGCACGGGAACGGGAACACGGUCCAGAGUCCUAAGGGAGGGAGCAGUAUGGAACGUGCCGCAAUGGUCGAAAGCCUGACGGAGCAACGCCGCGUGAGAGAUGAAGGUCUUCGGAUCGUAAAGCUCUGUUAUUAGGUGAGAACAAAUGUGUAAGUAGCUGAGCACGUCUUGACGGUACCUAAUCAAGAAGCCACGGCUAACUACGUG